GGGCCAUAGCUCAGGGGCAAAGAAUCUGCUUUGCAAGCAGAAAGUACCAGGUUCAAUACCUGGCAUCUCCA